UGUUUUGCUUCUCUAAUUAAGGACUAUUGAAUAUAUGAGGGUUUUUGUUUCUGUACAAACUUCCCACCUCAAAGAAAAUAAACGCUUUUCCAAAAAAUCAUGUGUUUCUCCUCCUCUCUUUUUCCUCAACCUGGUUUUCUCCGUGGCAUACUCUUGAGUUUUUCAGCUCAGUCGUGGAAGUUGUAUAUAGGUCAUUCACAACUUGCCUAAGCCAUUAAUCAGCAUGAUAAAAGCUGUUGGCUGGAAUCUUGAUACUGCAGCAAACUUCGUAGAGCCAUAUGUAGUUCAUGAAAGAGAGUUCAUAAGAAAUAUGUGUUUGAAUCACAUGUUUUCCAAAGAAUAUUCACUGUAUUUAAUAAUGAAUUCUUCUCGAUGAAACAUGAGAUUCAGCUUCGCCAA